GAUAAACGCUGGCGGCGUGCAUAACACAUGCAAGUCGAACGAAGUGGCGAACGGGUGAGUAACACGUGAGUAACCUGCCUUACACAAGGGGAUAGCCUAUGGAAACGAAGAAUAAUACCCUAUAGUGUAAGAUGGACUUGCGUCGGAUUAGCUAGUUGGUGAGAUAAAGGCCCACCAAGGCAACGAUCAGUAGCCGGCUUGUGAGAGUGGACGGCCACAUUGGGGGUGGGACACGGCCCAAACUCUACGGGAGGCAGCAGUGGGGAAUUUUGCACAAUGGGGGAAACCCUGAUGCAGUGACGCCGCUUGAGUUAGAAGGCCUUCGAGUUGUAAAAAGCUUUUUUAUGGGAUUCAGUACCAUAAGGAUAAGGUCCGGCUAAAUACGUGCCAGCAGCCGCGGUAAUAC
rnacentral:rRNA from 1 species